GAGGAAUAAGCAUCGGCUAACUCCGUGCCAGCAGCCGCGGUAAUACGGGGGAUGCAAGCGUUAUCCGGAAUCAUUGGGCGUAAAGCGCCUGUAGGUUGUUUAUUAAGUCUGUGGUUAAAGACUAGGGCUUAACCCUGGGAAAGCAAUGGAAACUAAUAGACUAGAGUAUGGCAGGGGUAGAGGGAAUUUCUAGUGUAGCGGUGAAAUGCGUAGAUAUUAGAAAGAACACCGGUGGCGAAAGCGCUCUACUGGACCAUUACUGACACUCAGAGGCGAAAGCUAGGGUAGCAAAAGGGAUUAGAUACCCCUGUAGUCCUAGCCGUAAACGAUGGAUACUAGAUGUUGUGCAUAAAGUACAGUAUCGCAGCUAACGCGUUAAGUAUCCCGCCUGGGGAGUACGCUCGCAAGGGUGAAACUCAAAGGAAUUGACGGGGGCCCGCACAAGCGGUGGAGCAUGUGGUUUAAUUCGAUGCAACGCGAAGAACCUUACCAGGGCUUGACAUACUACGAAUUCUCUUGAAAAAGGGAAGUGCCUUCGGGAAUGUAGAUACAGGUGGUGCAUGGCUGUCGUCAGCUCGUGUCGUGAGAUGUUGGGUUAAGUCCCGCAACGAGCGCAACCCUUAUUUUUAGUUACCAAUUCGUUGGGUUCUCUAGAAAGACUGCCGGUGACAAACCGGAGGAAGGUGAGGAUGACGUCAAGUCAGCAUGCCCCUUAUGUCCUGGGCUACACACGUGCUACAAUGGCGGAGACAAAGAGUCGCGAGCUCGCGAGAGUCAGCUAAUCUCAUAAACUUCGCCUAAGUUCAGAUUGCAGGCUGCAACUCGCCUACGUGAAG
rnacentral:rRNA from 1 species